rnacentral:rRNA from 1 species
UACGGAGGGUGCGAGCGUUAAUCGGAAUUACUGGGCGUAAAGCGCGCGUAGGCGGUUUGUUAAGUCAGCUGUGAAAGACCCGGGCUCAACCUGGGAACUGCAGUUGAUACUGUCCGACUAGAGUACGAGAGAGGGAGGUAGAAUUCCAUGUGUAGCGGUGAAAUGCGUAGAUAUAUGGAGGAAUACCAGUGGCGAAGGCGGCCUCCUGGCUCGAUACUGACGCUGAGGUGCGAAAGCGUGGGGAUCAAACAGG